rnacentral:lncRNA from 1 species
CCCAUUUCUCCCCCUCCUCCAAGGUGCAGCCCUCCCGUGUGGUUCUCCGUCGUGUGGCUGCGAUCUCAAUUGGAGUUUGGAGGGAGGAAGAAGGAAGGAGGAAGGGAAGAACCUAAGGUGAAUUUGUGAUUAACUUUUGUUGUUUUUGUGCUGCAAUCAAUUCGAUUAUGUGUUUAUCUUUGCGAAUCGGUAGAGGUGCUGUCCAGGAAUUUUGUGAGUGGGUGAACAGCAGUAGUUCUAGGGAUUUCUGGGAAUUUUCGUGGGGUAAUUAGUGGGAAUCAGUGGGAUAAUCAUGUAGAGCUUUGUCAUACCUUUCCAACGAGUACUUAUGCGCUCGAUUCGGAGUUAUAAUUUAGGAGAUAUCGUUGUUUGAAUCCGGGUAUGUUGCUGUCCAAAAAAACAGAUUUUUCAGGUGGGUGAACAGCAGUAGUAUUAGCAGUUUCUGGGAAUUUUUCGUGGGUAAUUAGUAUUAACCAGUAUUAUAAUCAUGUAGGGCUUUGUCUUAUCUUUCCAAUGAGUACUUAUGUGCUUGAUUUGGAAUUAUAUUUUAAAAGAUAUCGCUGUUUGAAUCCGGGUAUGUUGCUGUCCAAAAAAAAACAGAUUUUUCAGCUGGGUGAACAGCAGUAGUAUUAGCAAUUUUUUGGAAUUUUUCGUGGUUAAUUAGUGCUAACCAGUAUGAUAAUCAUGUAUGGCUUUGUCUUAUCUUUCCAAUGAGUACUUAUGCGCUUGAAUUGGAAUUAUAUUUUAAAAGAUAUCGCUGUUUGAAUCCGGGUAUGUCGCUGUCCAAAAGAGAAAAAACAGAUUACCGGGUUCAUCUUGUGAACUGUUUUGGGCUAAUUAGAUGUUGGAAUUUAAUUAUAAAUUGUAUACAAAACUUGUGGGGAAUUUUAUGUAGAUGCCUCUGGAGUUUUUGUUUGUUACCAAUGCUGUCAUAAUUUUGAAGUUAUGAAAUUAUUAAGCAGCGCUGCUGCAGUUUGGUGGGUGUGGGGAGAGAUGUAACCCGCGGCGGGGUUUGAGUUUGUGCGUAGGUGCGGCGUCAUUUAUGAGCCUGGUUAUGUGAAAUUGGUGCACUAAGUUGUGUGUCAAAAACAGGUGGUGGACUUCCGGAUCGUACUUAGGGAUUUGCCCAAACUUCCGGUAAAGGCAAGUAAAUACAGUGGUGGUUGCUACCGUUUGGUUUGCAUCCUAUUCCCUGUCAUUGAGUAUGCAUAAGUUUUAAAUAUGUUAAUCAUUGAAUUCUAUGAUGAAGUUUAUUUGUUCGAAAGUAUUAAUUCUCAAUUGUCUAAUAUUGUGGAUGAUCAUGAUUUGGUAAUGAUAUAUGUGGUUGAUUCCCAUCAUGGAUGGAGUUGAAGUAUUUUUUUUUUGAAUCACGUUAUAUGAAGUGUUGUAGGCAUGUCAUGCACAUUGCAUCAUCCAUCUUGCAUUCUGAAGUUAUGUCGUGAUCUUAUGGUCCGACUGUACCGGUACAUUUUUAGCAUCGUACGUUGCCCGAGGAGGGGUACGAUGCGGCUUCAUAUCCUUAGAGGUAUGAAGGCAGAAGUCAUCCUUGCAUUUGCAGACAUUUGCACUCAUGAGGUAUAUAUAUGAAGAGUGACAUUACUAUGUUACUAUUGUGGUUUCUACCUGCGAGGUGUGGUAGCUAGGAGUGUUGUACGUUGUAUACGUGCUGCACCUUUGUAAUAAGAAGGUUGUGAAAUCAAGUGGUGGUAAAACAAUAUUCUUAUGUGGUUAAACAGUUUGAUAUUAUUUUACUUGCUGAGAUGUGUCAUCUCACUCUUGCAUUACUCAAUGCAGGUACUUGAUACAUGUUGGGAAUGAGGGGAGUAGCAGCACGUCCACUUUCACUCUCAUAAUAGCGCUGCCCAGGCGUAGCCAUGAUUUAAUUAGAAACUUGUUGUCAAAAGAAGUUUAUUUUUUUGCUAGUCGUGCGCACUGGUUAAUUCAGUUCAUGUCGUAUGCUUAACUUCCCUUUGCUAGCCGAUUAAUAAUACUUGGUAUGUUUUUGUCAUGAUAUAUGUUUAUACACUGUUGUCCCCCCCUCAUUUAUGCAAUUUUGCAAAGGAGAUGCUGCCAAAAUUUUAUAUAGAUGUCAGAAGUGUAGUUCAGUAGCAUUCCGGGGUGUUUGUGGACCCCGGGGUGUUACAGUUGGUAUCAGAGCAUAGGCUUUAGAUUCUACGCAAUUUGAAGAUAAAUUUGACACACUUGCACAUAUAGGAAGGGUAUGGGUUCGUAUAUCUUUCAUAUUAGUAUUUUAUUGUAUAGAUGACUAGAACUUCCUUACUCCAAAUUCCUUUAUGGUUUGAUGGGGUACGUCAUUAAUGACGUAAUGCUUGAUAUGAUAUGUUAUUUCUAUUUAAUAUUGGUUUCUUGAUGUGGUUGUUAUUGAAGAUAUUAUGCAAGUGAAGCUACUACUGUACUUGUUUUAUAUACAUAUUGUCAUGAUGUUUUUUUGAUGCAAUGUUUUCAAAUCUCUGAGCUAUUACUAUCAUAUAUUUCUAUAUGCUUGACUGUGGAUGUUUUUUUCCAAAAGGAUUCUUGGGUUCUAGUACUUGUAGGACCGAUUGUUUAUUGAGCUUGUCUAUAGUAGGUCUAAUCCGACUUGGUGUAGUGUGAAAACACUAUAUAAUGUAGUUUUAUGGUGUUGUUGAGUUUGAUUGACUGUUGGGUUACAACCCAACUUAUCAAUGUAAUAUUUCCAUGGGUGCAAUGCUUUGCGCCUCACUUUUUUGGCUAGUGUGGCUACUUGCUAACUUGAUCUUAGUAUAAAAUUGGUUUGUCUCUAUAGAGCAAAGGCAACAUUGUAAUGUCUAUGAAAUCUUGAGACUGGUAGAACUCAAGUGAAUUUGUAAGAUGACGUAGAUUGAUAAGUCCAACCAUGUUUACCUGAUAGGUUUUCUUAUUAUGUGCAACCUUAUUUUUUUAACAAUAAAUAGGGUGGUUUCAAGUGGAUUUUAUGUCGUGCAUGUUUUCCUUCUAUGGUUUGUUUAAAUAGCCAUAAAGGCUAUGCAUAAUUUUUAGUUGUUGCAGGCUAGUCAUGUGGACGAUAUUGACAACCCAUUUUAUUUUUUUAUUUGCCAACAUUGUAUGGUAGUUUGAUUUUUUUUAUGAUCAGUUUCUCUAUGCAUGCUUGUUGAAUCAUUAUUUGGACCGCUUUAUCUUAAACGAAGUCAAUGCUUAACUGGGAGUUGCUUAUGUUUGUUAGUCAUCUAUCUCUUUAAUGAUGGGGUUGUUGCAUCGGAUUGAGAUUUUUCUUAUAUGAAUGAUGGUUUGAUAGAUCAUGUAUGUCUACUACUUUGAAUGCAUCCUGUGAUAUCACGAGGUACAAAUUGUUCAAGUGCAGUAAUAGUAGGUUUUGUUGUAUGUGAGGUUAAUCAAGGUAGUUUGGUUAUGUGGAUUGUCUUAUUGACAUCCAAUUACUCCUGAUGAGCAUAGUAUCGUGUUGCUAUUUUAGUAUUGAAAGUAAUAUUUAUGAAGCUUUUGCAUGAGUCUGUGUCAAGAAGUACAUUAGUUUUUCUUGUUGUUCUCCCUCCAUUGCUUUAUGAGUAUUGCAAAUUUUAUCUCUUUUGAGAGGAGGAAAAGACGUUACAUGACAUGAGCACCAUUUGCUUCACGUCAACAGAAUAGUUGUGGAGAGCUCUAAUAGUUGGAUUCUAGUGUAAUAACAACCAUGUCUUAUAGUGCUAGAGACGGGUAUGUCAGGUGUUUCAUACAUUGUCGAUACAUGGAUGUUUGACCUUAGUGGCAUUAACAAACGAGGUUGUUUAAUUCGUUGAUUGUUGUGCUUAGUGUUCUAACCUAUUAGGUAAAGUGUUGCUUAAAGGCUUUGGGGAGUUGCAUCCCCAUUUGGUAGUGGAAAAUCCUAGUGUUGAUCGCACCUGCCAAUGCCUUGGGUUUUAUUUUAUAUUGUUUUUUAUUAUGGGUAAGGUGUUGUUUGGUUUUGGGAGUCAUUUUAAAUUAGUUGGAGGCUGAAUCAGGCUUCACUUAUCUAGAAUGUUUUGUAGUAGGCUUCUUCAUCUUUGCAUAGGAUGCUCAAUCACCCAGUUUGGUCUAAACAUUGGAGAGUUAUGGGUUUCCUAUAGCAGCCUUAAUUUUGUACGGAAGUAUAGACAUUGAAGACGGUAAAUUUUGGUUUUUGUUGGAUUAUGAAAGUUUUAGUAAUUUCAUGAUCUUUCCAAAGAUUAUUGGUUUGUAAUUUUCAUUGCAUAUAAUUGGAGUUAGGCUACUCUGAAGUUGUUACACCGUUGUGUCUGAACUUUAGGUGUCGUUAAAACCACCAAUAAAUCGACCGUGUUCUGAUAGUUUCAGAGCCCAAAUUUGGGAAUUCUCUUUAAGAAAAACUUUUAGUUUUUCUAAGUACCUUUUAAUGGGUAUUUACUUGUAAUUGCCUAUUAAAUAGAUUGGGAGAGGUGGUUGUCCGGAUAUAAGUCGAAUCUCUGAUGUGCAGUAUCUCAGGUUGAGUUUAGCUGUAGGUCAUGCAGAGUUGAGGGUUAUAAAGAUAAAUUUGGGUGCAACUUUAUUGCAAAAGUCGUGGACAAUUUCCAAACUUUUCCAACGCAUGUUCGUUGUAGUUUUAAGUUGAGUAUAGCAGGAGUUAUAGGAUUUUGAAUUUUAGUUGUCCAAUAUUUCUAUCCUAUCAGUUUUGCAACAAAGCAGUUGCAUUGUUUUAUCGGUUUGGAAACCAAUUCUGAGACACUCAUUAUAAUAAAAGUUUUAGGGAAUGUUAUAACCUUUUCAAUGAGUUUGUAUUUGCAAAAUUUUGUUAGAUGCAGAUUGGGUGAGUUAUUGGAUGGAUAUAUAUGCAUAGUAUAAUUAAAAAAAAGUGUUCUUCGAUGGAAUGAUAUAAUGUAUAGAAUAUGCUUGGAUGGAUAUAUGGGCAGGCGUAGUAUGCUUAAAUCGAUUCUUGCUUCCAUGAUGUGAGAUAAGGCUUAAAAUGAUUUAAAAAGUUAGCAUAUGGCUUCUAUCUUUACGUUGGCUCUGAGUGUCUCAUAAUGAAGAACCUAAAGUUAUUAGUCCUUCGAUGAACGCUUAAUCUUAGAAGAGUAUAGAACCUGAAUAAAUCUAUUGCUUGUUGUUUGGGACUACAUGACCAGUUUUGGUUAUGCAGCUAGUUCAAUGAAUUAAACCAUGUUUUCUGUAGAAGUGUUGUAUAUAAAAGUUGUAGCCAACUUCUUCAUCUUACUUGUGUAAAAUUUCAUGACCAUAGGUCUAGUAGUUUGGGAGUUAUGAUUUUCUCAAGUCUAGUCUUGGAAUCUGUCCAGAUUCUGUACAGAUUUUGAAACUGACCUUGUUUGCCCAAGUUAAACUUUGAAUCAGUUCUUAUAAAUUAUAAAGAAGUGGAGUACUUUCCUUAAGAUUUCCAACAAAUAUUGGAUCACCCUUUUUGGUGACCUAUAAGUUAAGCUACAACUGUUUUAAGUGGAAUCUUUGAAUCUGUCCAAAUUUGGACAGCAUAGCCUUUCUUAUGUCUUUUGACCUUGAUAUGCAUUGAAUUAACCUGAUAUGUUUAUAAAUGAAAUAUAGACAAUUUUACUGGCUUUCAAAAAAAGUCUAGGAGCGCCUAAAUUGGAUGACUGAGACUCCAAUUAUGGAUUUUUUAAGUGAGUAGUUGAAUUCUGUCCAAGUCUGGACAAAAUUUACGUUUCGCAUUGUUUGUCCUUUCUAAGUGUCAAAUCUUGUGGUGAUGAUAAUACCAAGGGUAUAGUGGACUUUGUAAGCUUUCCAUAAAGUCCUAGUUUACUACUGUUGGAUGCAUAUUUUGUGAGUUUAUGAGCAAAACAAUUAACCGUUGUGCUGAUGUCUAGAAAUAUGCAAGCAUUAAAUUGAUCUUUUGAAGUUACUCUUGUUUGGAUAGGUUUGGUUUAGGCUAUUGGAGCACAGUAUGUAUUGCUUUCAUUAUAUAUAUUCAUUGAAGUACUUGCAUGUGUCAAUGUUGAUUUGGUGUCAGGAAAACUUUGUCCGGGUUAUAUAGGACUGUCUAUUAUCUUAGCCGAGUUGGCAGCUUGGCUUAGCACAUGCAAUUGUCGGAGUCUAUGAUCAGAGUACGCCAUGUAUUCCAUGUCUCUAUGUUGAGAAAGUAUUUGCGGAAUCCAUAUCAAUAAUCGAGCUAGAGUCGAUUCCCAUGUAGCAAGACCUGACUCUAGAGUGUCGUCUGCUGCGUAUCCUAGAAUCCUUGAAGCUCGAGGAGCUGAUGCGGCAGAAGUACCCCGAACUUUUCGUUAUGGGUUGAGUUUUUGUUGUCGCUGAUCUUUCCUUGUCGUUCCGAUAGAAGCGUCGGAAUUCGAGGUCGAAUUCUUUUUAAGGGGGGUAGAGUGUGAUACCCGGUUUGCAAAGAAGAGAAGUUGAAGGUUAUUCUUUUUGUUUGUUUUUUCUCUUAUUCGGGUGUCGCGCUUUGGGGGAUUUAGAAUUUGUGGAAAACAUUCACCAGUAUAGCAGUAGAGUGGUUGGUCGGGAGCUGUCGUGCAAGCGAGUUGGGCCGCGAAUCGCAAUCCGGCCCACUAACCCUCCCCUAACCCUAGCCGCCCCCCCCCUUUUCCCCCUUGGGUUGUUGCAGCCGCCCCUUCCCCUCCCCUUUCUCUUGGACGCCCCCCCUCUCCCAUCUUCUUCCUCCUCAAACCUUUGCAGCCCUCACCACCCAAAACCCUAGCCGCCCCCCCCCCCCCCAUUUCUCCCCCUCCUCCAAGGUGCAGCCCUCCCGUGUGGUUCUCCGUCGUGUGGCUGCGAUCUCAAUUGGAGUUUGGAGGGAGGAAGAAGGAAGGAGGAAGGGAAGAACCUAAGGUGAAUUUGUGAUUAACUUUUGUUGUUUUUGUGCUGCAAUCAAUUCGAUUAUGUGUUUAUCUUUGCGAAUCGGUAGAGGUGCUGUCCAGGAAUUUUGUGAGUGGGUGAACAGCAGUAGUUCUAGGGAUUUCUGGGAAUUUUCGUGGGGUAAUUAGUGGGAAUCAGUGGGAUAAUCAUGUAGAGCUUUGUCAUACCUUUCCAACGAGUACUUAUGCGCUCGAUUCGGAGUUAUAAUUUAGGAGAUAUCGUUGUUUGAAUCCGGGUAUGUUGCUGUCCAAAAAAACAGAUUUUUCAGGUGGGUGAACAGCAGUAGUAUUAGCAGUUUCUGGGAAUUUUUCGUGGGUAAUUAGUAUUAACCAGUAUUAUAAUCAUGUAGGGCUUUGUCUUAUCUUUCCAAUGAGUACUUAUGUGCUUGAUUUGGAAUUAUAUUUUAAAAGAUAUCGCUGUUUGAAUCCGGGUAUGUUGCUGUCCAAAAAAAACAGAUUUUUCAGCUGGGUGAACAGCAGUAGUAUUAGCAAUUUCUGGGAAUUUUUCGUGGUUAAUUAGUGCUAACCAGUAUGAUAAUCAUGUAUGGCUUUGUCUUAUCUUUACAAUGAGUACUUAUGCGCUUGAAUUGGAAUUAUAUUUUAAAAGAUAUCGCUGUUUGAAUCCGGGUAUGUCGCUGUCCAAAAGAGAAAAAAACAGAUUACCGGGUUCAUCUUGUGAACUGUUUUGGGCUAAUUAGAUGUUGGAAUUUAAUUAUAAAUUGUAUACAAAACAUGUGGGGAAUUUUAUGUAGAUGCCUCUGGAGUUUUUGUUUGUUACCAAUGCUGUCAUAAUUUUGAAGUUAUGAAAUUAUUAAGCAGCGCCGCUGCAGUUUGGUGGGUGUGGGGAGAGAUGUAACCCGCGGCGGGGUUUGAGUUUGUGCGUAGGUGCGGCGUCGUUUAUGAGCCUGGUUAUGUGAAAUUGGUGCACUAAGUUGUAUGUCAAAAACAGGUGGUGGACUUCCGGAUCGUACUUAGGGAUUUGCCUAAACUUCCGGUAAAGGCAAGUAAAUACAGUGGUGGUUGCUACCGUUUGGUUUGCAUCCUAUUCCCUGUCAUUGAGUAUGCAUAAGUUUUAAAUAUGUUAAUCAUUGAAUUCUAUGAUGAAGUUUAUUUGUUCGAAAGUAUUAAUUCUCAAUUGUCUAAUAUUGUGGAUGAUCAUGAUUUGGUAAUGAUAUAUGUGGUUGAUUCCCAUCAUGGAUGGAGUUGAAGUAUUUUUUUUGAAUCACGUUAUAUGAAGUGUUGUAGGCAUGUCAUGCACAUUGCAUCAUCCAUCUUGCAUUCUGAAGUUAUGUCGUGAUCUUAUGGUCCGACUGUACCGGUACAUUUUUAGCAUCGUACGUUGCCCGAGGAGGGGUACGAUGCGGCUUCAUAUCCUUAGAGGUAUGAAGGCAGAAGUCAUCCUUGCAUUUGCAGACAUUUGCACUCAUGAGGUAUAUAUAUGAAGAGUGACAUUACUAUGUUACUAUUGUGGUUUCUACCUGCGAGGUGUGGUAGCUAGGAGUGUUGUACGUUGUAUACGUGCUGCACCUUUGUAAUAAGAAGGUUGUGAAAUCAAGUGGUGGUAAAACAAUAUUCUUAUGUGGUUAAACAGUUUGAUAUUAUUUUACUUGCUGAGAUGUGUCAUCUCACUCUUGCAUUACUCAAUGCAGGUACUUGAUACAUGUUGGGAAUGAGGGGAGUAGCAGCACGUCCACUUUCACUCUCAUAAUAGCGCUGCCCAGGCGUAGCCAUGAUUUAAUUAGAAACUUGUUGUCAAAAGAAGUUUAUUUUUUUGCUAGUCGUGUGCACUGGUUAAUUCAGUUCAUGUCGUAUGCUUAACUUCCCUUUGCUAGCCGAUUAAUAAUACUUGGUAUGUUUUUGUCAUGAUAUAUGUUUAUACACUGUUGUCCCCCCCUCAUUUAUGCAAUUUUGCAAAGGAGAUGC